rnacentral:rRNA from 1 species
GUUGAACGCUGGCGGCAUGCCUUACACAUGCAAGUCGAACGGCAGCACGGGGCAACCUGGUGGCGAGUGGCGAACGGGUGAGUAAUGCAUCGGAACGUACCUUUCAGUGGGGGAUAACGUAGCGAAAGUUACGCUAAUACCGCAUAUUCUGUGAGCAGGAAAGCAGGGGCUCGCAAGACCUUGCGCUGAUUGAGCGGCCGAUGUCAGAUUAGCUAGUUGGUGAGGUAAAGGCUCACCAAGGCGACGAUCUGUAGCGGGUCUGAGAGGAUGAUCCGCCACACUGGAACUGAGACACGGUCCAGACUCCUACGGGAGGCAGCAGUGGGGAAUUUUGGACAAUGGGGGCAACCCUGAUCCAGCCACGCCGCGUGAGUGAAGAAGGCCUUCGGGUUGUAAAGCUCUUUCGGCCGGGAAGAAAUCGCACGGGCUAAUACCCUGUGUGGAUGACGGUACCGGAAUAAGAAGCACCGGCUAACUACGUGCCAGCAGCCGCCGUAACAC